UACGUAGGGUGCGAGCGUUGUCCGGAAUUAUUGGGCGUAAAGAGCUCGUAGGCGGUCUGUUGCGUCGGCUGUGAAAACCCGGGGCUCAACUCCGGGCCUGCAGCCGAUACGGGCAGACUAGAGUUCGGCAGGGGAGACUGGAAUUCCUGGCGUAGCGGUGAAAUGCGCAGAUAUCAGGAGGAACACCGGUGGCGAAGGCGGGUCUCUGGGCCGAUACUGACGCUGAGGAGCGAAAGCGUGGGGAGCGAACAGG
rnacentral:rRNA from 1 species